rnacentral:rRNA from 1 species
CCUACGGGAGGCAGCAGUGGGGAAUAUUGGGCAAUGGGCGCAAGCCUGACCCAGCAACGCCGCGUGAAGGAAGCAGGCCUUCGGGUUGUAAACUUCUUUUGUCAGGGACGAAGAAAGUGACGGUACCUGACGAAUAAGCCACGGCUAACUCCGUGCCAGCAGCCGAAGUAAUACGUAGGUGGCAAGCGUUAUCCGGCUUUACUGGGUGUAAAGGGCGUGUAGGCGGGAGAGCAAGUCAGACGUGAAAUUCCAGGGCUCAACCCUGUAACUGCGUUUGAAACUGUUCUUCUUGAGUGAUGGAGAGGCAGGCGGAAUGCCGUGUGUAGCGGUGAAAUGCGUAGAUAUACGGAGGAACACCAGUGGCGAAGGCGGCCUGCUGGACAUUAACUGACGCUGAGGCGCGAAAGCGUGGGGAGCAAACAGGAUUAGAUACCCCAGUAGUC